rnacentral:lncRNA from 1 species
GACCUAGAUAAGAUUGUACAGAGGCUAGAAGCUUCCAGGACUAGCGUAGGUUAGCAGACAGAGGCAGCAAGCCUCGGAGACAACGAUCACCUCAGAUCACGCCACCUCAGGAAACAGCUGAAAAUAGAGGCGAACCCAGCAUGUUAGUGGGUCAGAAGACUGUGAUGACGUGGGCACAAGCAUGCCACGUGACUGCGAUGACGUAGCACGCAAGCACACCACAUGGCUGAGAUGACAAAGCACGCAGGCACGCCGUGUAGCUGAGGUGACAAAGCAUGCCUGCCCCCAAUGAUUCAUCUUAUUGCUUGUCAACAUUGGAACAGCACCUCGCACAUAAGCCAUGCCACCUUUCGCAGUUAGUGCAUCUCUUGGUAAGUACUUAGCUCCUCC